rnacentral:rRNA from 1 species
GACGUAGGGCGCGAGCGUUGUCCGGAUUUAUUGGGCGUAAAGAGCUCGUAGGCGGCUCAUUGCGUCAACCGUGAAAACCAGCAGCUCAACUGUUGGCUUGCGGUUGAUACGGGUGGGCUGGAGUUCGGUAGGGGAGACUGGAAUUCCUGGUGUAGCGGUGAAAUGCGCAGAUAUCAGGAGGAACACCGGUGGCGAAGGCGGAUCUCUGGGCCUUACCUGACGCUCAGGCGCGAAAGCUAGGGGAGCGAACUGG